GCCUGGGUGGCUCAGUCAGUUGAGCGUCCGACUUCGGCUCAGAUCAUGAUCUCACGGUCCAUGAGUUCGAGCCCCAUGUCAGGCU
rnacentral:tRNA from 1 species